rnacentral:tRNA from 1 species
GGCAGCAUGGCCGAGUGGUCUAAGGCGGUAGACUUGAAUUUCCUAAAAGGAAAACAGCAGUUUUCUUAAGGAACCUAAUCUACUCUCUUCGGAGGCGUGUGUUCGAACCACACUGCUGUCG